UACAGAGGGGGCAAGCGUUAUUCGGAAUUAUUGGGCGUAAAAGGGCGCGUAGGCGGGCGCGGCAAGUCUUCUGUGAAACCUCCGGGCUUAACUCGGAGCCUGCAGGGGAAACUGCCGUGCUUGAGUGUGGGAGAGGUGAGUGGAAUUCCCGGUGUAGCGGUGAAAAAUGCGUAGAUAUUGGGAGGAACACCGGUGGCGAAGGCGGCCCCCCCUGGACCGGUACUGACGCUGAGGCGCGAAAGCGUGGGUAGCAAACGGG
rnacentral:rRNA from 1 species